AAUCUAAAGGUAUUUUAAAAUAAGUAAAAUAAUAUAGACAUAUUGCAUACAAACAUAACGAAAUGAUAAUCCGUUUUGUAAAAGGUUUUUAUCCAAGUGUAUAUAGAACAUGUUUUAUUAGGGAACGAUUAUUUUCAACGUCUACUAAUCUCUUUAGUGCAGGUGUAGACGAUAAAUUGUUUGGAUUAAAUACUGAUCAGGAGAGCUUUAGGCAAACUGUACACGAUUUUUGUAAAAAAAAUCUUGCUCCUUUUGCUGAUCAAAUUGAUAAAAAUAAUGGCUGGAGUGAUCUUCGGGAAUUUUGGAAAAAACUUGGUGAUAUGGGGCUUCUUGGUAUAACUGUUUCUCAAGAAUAUGGAGGUCUUGGAUUAGGUUACUUUGAACAUGUUAUAGCAAUGGAAGAAAUUAGUCGUGCCAGUGGUGCUAUUGGUCUCAGUUAUGGGGCUCACUCAAAUCUAUGUGUAAACCAAAUUGCUCGAAAUGGAACUAAAAACCAAAAAGAGAAAUAUCUUCCAAAAUUAAUUAGCGGAGAAGUUUUUGGCUCUCUGGCAAUGAGCGAAGUAGGUUCAGGAUCGGACGUCGUUUCAAUGAAGUUGCGUGCUGAUAGAGAUGGAAAUGAUUACAUACUAAACGGAAAUAAAUUUUGGAUUACAAAUGGACCAGAUUCUGAAACCUUUGUUGUUUAUGCUAAAACUGUGUCUGAUAAAGAAAAAGCUGCACGUGGUAUUACUUGUUUCAUUAUAGAGCGUGGAAUGAAAGGUUUUUCCACAAUGCCAAAACUUGACAAAUUAGGUAUGCGAGGAUCAAAUACAUGUGAGUUAGUAUUUGAUAAUUGCCGGGUUCCUGCAGAAAAUAUAUUGGGUGAACUUAAUCAAGGAGUCUAUGUUUUGUUUAGUGGCUUAGAUAUAGAACGUUUAGUAUUAUCUGGUGGUCCUCUUGGUAUAAUGCAAGCAGUAAGUGAUACUGUGUUUCCUUAUGUUCACGCGCGCAAACAAUUUGGAGAAUCUGUUGGCCACUUUCAGUUAAUGCAGGCAAAACUAGCUGAUAUUUAUGUUGCACUUUCUGCAAGUCGAUCUUAUGUAUACUCAGUUGCAAGAGCUAUUGAUAGCGGACAUUUUAAUAGUAAAGAUUGUGCGGGUGUUAUAUUAUACGCUUCGGAGAAAGCCACACAGGUGGCUUUGCAAGGAAUUCAAUGUUUGGGUGGAAAUGGAUAUAUAAAUGAUUAUCCUACAGGACGUUUUUUACGAGAUGCUAAGUUAUAUGAAAUAGGUGCUGGGACCAGUGAAAUACGACGUUGGUUAAUUGGUCGGAAUAUAAAUCAGCAGUUUAAGUGAAGCUAAAUUUCCGAUUCAAACUAAUUAGUGUGAUGGUUAUACCGUGUUACAUUUGACCAAGUGCAUGUUUAAUAAACUCAGUUAUUAUUUUAAAAGUGUUGAAUAUUGAAUUAGUUUUAUACAUAUACAACUGUAUACAUGUAUACAGGAGAGAAUUUUUGCUGCUUUUUUCUUAAUUUUACAUAAAUAAACUUUUAAUAAAUUGAAAAAAAAAAUUUCGACAA
rnacentral:misc_RNA from 1 species